GGUUAAGCGACUAAGCGUACACGGUGGAUGCCCUGGCAGUCAGAGGCGAUGAAGGACGUGCUAAUCUGCGAAAAGCGUCGGUAAGGUGAUAUGAACCGUUAUAACCGGCGAUGUCCGAAUGGGGAAACCCAGUGCAAUUCGUUGCACUAUCGUUAACUGAAUACAUAGGUUAACGAGGCGAACCGGGGGAACUGAAACAUCUAAGUACCCCGAGGAAAAGAAAUCAACCGAGAUUCCCCCAGUAGCGGCGAGCGAACGGGGAGCAGCCCAGAGUCUGAAUCAGCUUGUGUGUUAGUGGAACGGUCUGGAAAGUCCGACGGUACAGGGUGAUAGUCCCGUACACCAAAAUGCACAGGUUGUGAACUCGAAGAGUAGGGCGGGACACGUGGUAUCCUGUCUGAAUAUGGGGGGACCAUCCUCCAAGGCUAAAUACUCCUGACUGACCGAUAGUGAACCAGUACCGUGAGGGAAAGGCGAAAAGAACCCCGGCGAGGGGAGUGAAAAAGAACCUGAAACCGUGUACGUACAAGCAGUGGGAGCACCUUCGGGUGUGACUGCGUACCUUUUGUAUAAUGGGUCAGCGACUUAUAUUCUGUAGCAAGGUUAACCGUAUAGGGGAGCCGCAGGGAAACCGAGUCUUAACUGGGCGUUAAGUUGCAGGGUAUAGACCCGAAACCCGGUGAUCUAGCCAUGGGCAGGUUGAAGGUUGGGUAACACUAACUGGAGGACCGAACCGACUAAUGUUGAAAAAUUAGCGGAUGACUUGUGGCUGGGGGUGAAAGGCCAAUCAAACCGGGAGAUAGCUGGUUCUCCCCGAAAGCUAUUUAGGUAGCGCCUCGUGAAUUCAUCUUCGGGGGUAGAGCACUGUUUCGGCUAGGGGGUCAUCCCGACUUACCAACCCGAUGCAAACUACGAAUACCGAAGAAUGUUAUCACGGGAGACACACGGCGGGUGCUAACGUCCGUCGUGAAGAGGGAAACAACCCAGACCGCCAGCUAAGGUCCCAAAGUCAUGGUUAAGUGGGAAACGAUGUGGGAAGGCACAGACAGCCAGGAUGUUGGCUUAGAAGCAGCCAUCAUUUAAAGAAAGCGUAAUAGCUCACUGGUCGAGUCGGCCUGCGCGGAAGAUGUAACGGGGCUAAACCAUGCACCGAAGCUGCGGCAGCGACACUAUGUGUUGUUGGGUAGGGGAGCGUUCUGUAAGCCUGCGAAGGUGANNNNNNNNNNNNNNNNNNNNNNNNNNNNNNNNNNNNNNNNNNNNNNNNNNNNNNNNNNNNNNNNNNNNNNNNNNNNNNNNNNNNNNNNNNNNNNNNNCAUGCUGGAGGUAUCAGAAGUGCGAAUGCUGACAUAAGUAACGAUAAAGCGGGUGAAAAGCCCGCUCGCCGGAAGACCAAGGGUUCCUGUCCAACGUUAAUCGGGGCAGGGUGAGUCGACCCCUAAGGCGAGGCCGAAAGGCGUAGUCGAUGGGAAACAGGUUAAUAUUCCUGUACUUGGUGUUACUGCGAAGGGGGGACGGAGAAGGCUAUGUUAGCCGGGCGACGGUUGUCCCGGUUUAAGCAUGUAGGCUGAUUGUCCAGGCAAAUCCGGAUAAUCAAGGCUGAGGUGUGAUGACGAGGCACUACGGUGCUGAAGUAACAAAUGCCCUGCUUCCAGGAAAAGCCUCUAAGCAUCAGGUAACAUCAAAUCGUACCCCAAACCGACACAGGUGGUCAGGUAGAGAAUACCAAGGCGCUUGAGAGAACUCGGGUGAAGGAACUAGGCAAAAUGGUGCCGUAACUUCGGGAGAAGGCACGCUGGUGUGUAGGUGAAGUCCCUGCGGAUGGAGCUGAGACCAGUCGAAGAUACCAGCUGGCUGCAACUGUUUAUUAAAAACACAGCACUGUGCAAACACGAAAGUGGACGUAUACGGUGUGACGCCUGCCCGGUGCCGGAAGGUUAAUUGAUGGGGUUAUCCGUAAGGAGAAGCUCUUGAUCGAAGCCCCGGUAAACGGCGGCCGUAACUAUAACGGUCCUAAGGUAGCGAAAUUCCUUGUCGGGUAAGUUCCGACCUGCACGAAUGGCGUAAUGAUGGCCAGGCUGUCUCCACCCGAGACUCAGUGAAAUUGAACUCGCUGUGAAGAUGCAGUGUACCCGCGGCAAGACGGAAAGACCCCGUGAACCUUUACUAUAGCUUGACACUGAACAUUGAGCCUUGAUGUGUAGGAUAGGUGGGAGGCUUUGAAGCGUGGACGCCAGUCUGCGUGGAGCCAACCUUGAAAUACCACCCUUUAAUGUUUGAUGUUCUAACGUUGGCCCCUUACCGGGGUUGCGGACAGUGUCUGGUGGGUAGUUUGACUGGGGCGGUCUCCUCCCAAAGCGUAACGGAGGAGCACGAAGGUUAGCUAAUCCUGGUCGGACAUCAGGAGGUUAGUGCAAUGGCAUAAGCUAGCUUGACUGCGAGCGUGACGGCGCGAGCAGGUGCGAAAGCAGGUCAUAGUGAUCCGGUGGUUCUGAAUGGAAGGGCCAUCGCUCAACGGAUAAAAGGUACUCCGGGGAUAACAGGCUGAUACCGCCCAAGAGUUCAUAUCGACGGCGGUGUUUGGCACCUCGAUGUCGGCUCAUCACAUCCUGGGGCUGAAGUAGGUCCCAAGGGUAUGGCUGUUCGCCAUUUAAAGUGGUACGCGAGCUGGGUUUAGAACGUCGUGAGACAGUUCGGUCCCUAUCUGCCGUGGGCGCUGGAGAAUUGAGGGGGGCUGCUCCUAGUACGAGAGGACCGGAGUGGACGCAUCACUGGUGUUCGGGUUGUCAUGCCAAUGGCACUGCCCGGUAGCUAAAUGCGGAAGAGAUAAGUGCUGAAAGCAUCUAAGCACGAAACUUGCCCCGAGAUGAGUUCUCCCUGAGACUUUAAGUCUCCUGAAGGAACGUU
rnacentral:rRNA from 1 species